rnacentral:lncRNA from 1 species
AUAUUCUCAACAGGUUUCCUAUGACAACACUUUGAAGAAAAAUGCUUUUUCUGCACUUUGCAUCUUUGAAGAAAAUGCAGUUAAUUGUCAAUAUUUUGAGCCCAUACAGGCAGUUGAACUGUAUGAAGUCUAACAACUGAUGAAAACUAUGCCAAAGCCUGAAGGAUGCUCAUUUAGACAUUGGGAGCCUUUUCUGAAUGAAACACAACAUGUGUAUUUGGAUGUCACACAAAAGAAUCAGCAAGGACUACAGACAUCCCAGGGAUGUACCUUCUUCUAAAUAAAAACAGGGGCUGGCAAAACAAGCAGUGCUGGAAGAUCAAAUUCAUGUGAUUCCUUCCAACUCUGAAAGAUCAAGCUUCC